ensembl:antisense Gm15265 predicted gene 15265
CCCCCUGAGAAAUGUUCCCCCACCUAAGUCUUGAGGUGGAGUUCAACUUCCUAAAAGUUCUAAGUGCAGGCAACCCAACCUGAGUCCCCCAGGCCAGGGCCCUCCUGAGCCACACCUUGCUGCAUGAUCUCCACAAUCUGUACCACCUUGUCCAUGUGCUUCCGAGCAGCAAUCAGCCCUUGCAGCAUGAGCAUCUUGUAGUAGUUGAACAUAUCACCGUUCAGGCCACCCAUUACCUGGAAGCAAGGAGAGUGUCUGUGUGCACAGAGAAAUUCUGGUGGGUCCUUUCUGUAGGCCUCAGAGCUUCCUCUCUUAAGGUAAUCAUGGUAAAUUUCCUUAUCACUAUCUCCACAUUUUCUUUCAUAAGCUCCCAGGCAAUCCUGCCUCGUCUUGACUUAUUGCCAUUUCUGUUCUGUUCCUAAUUUGGGGGAGUCCAUCAGCUCCUCUCAGAGGAAGAACACAGUUACCCUUGGAAGCACCUCUCUUUUUUGACUCACAUCCACAAAUUCUGUGGUCAGCUUAAAGGCUGAUGUCUCGAAGCCCAGGUUUCGGGGUGAGCUGGAAAGGAUGAAGCCAAAGUCGAUGUGGAUGAUGUGACCUUCUGCGUCCAGAAGGAUGUUCCCGUUGUGCCUGAGGAAGAGGCAACAGAAGUAAUCGAGCAAGGAGAGCUGUGACUGUUUCUUCACCUGGUGGAUGGACACAGCGUUGACUACUGGUUCAAUCAUGCCACUGUCAGCUGAAAUCACAAGAAUCUUAUAUGGCUUGAUCCAAAGAGGCACUCGCUCCUGUUCCCAAAUGGACUGUGAAGAGACAC